CUUGACUGUAUCUUGGAAUUGGGUUCGGGCUUUGCUUGCGCAGGAUAGGUGGGAGGCGUUGAGAUAUUCCUUGUGGGGAAUGUGGAGCCAACGGUGAGAUACCACUCUGGUGAGGCUAGAAUUCUAACCCGAUGCCGUGAACCGGCUCGGGAACAGUUUCAGGCGGGCAGUUUGACUGGGGCGGUCGCCUCCUAAAAGGUAACGGAGGCGCGCAAAGGUUCUCUCAGGCUGGUUGGAGAUCAGCCGUAGAGUGUAAAGGCAUAAGAGAGCUUGACUGCGAGACAAACACGUCGAGCAGGGUGGAAACACGGCCUUAGCGAUCCGACGGCGCUGCGUGGAAAGGCCGUCGCUAAACGGAUAAAAGUUA
rnacentral:rRNA from 1 species